rnacentral:rRNA from 1 species
AGAGUUUGAUCAUGGCUCAGGACGAACGCUGGCGGCGUGCCUAACACAUGCAAGUCGAACGGGGUAGCAAUACCCAGUGGCGAACGGGUGCGUAACACGUGAGGAACAUACCCUUCGGCGGGGGAUAGCCGGCCCGACGGCCGGGUAAUACCGCGUACGACCUUCGGGUGGCAUCACCUGGGGGUGAAAGCAGCAAUGCGCCGAUGGAGUGCCUCGCGGCCUAUCAGCUAGUUGGUGAGGUAACGGCUCACCAAGGCGACGACGGGUAGCUGGUCUGAGAGGAUGAUCAGCCACAUUGGGACUGAGACACGGCCCAGACUCCUACGGGAGGCAGCAGUGGGGAAUCUUGCGCAAUGGCCGAAAGGCUGACGCAGCGACGCCGCGUGUGGGAUGAAGGUCUUCGGAUUGUAAACCACUGUCGGGAGGGACGAAGCUCUGACGGUACCUCCAAAGGAAGCACCGGCUAACUCUGUGCCAGCAGCCGCGGUAAUACAGAGGGUGCGAGCGUUGUCCGGAAUCACUGGGCGUAAAGGGCGCGUAGGCGGCCUGGUAAGUCGGGGGUGAAAUGCUGCGGCUCAACCGCAGCACUGCCUUCGAGACUGUCAGGCUUGAGCACGGUAGAGGCAGAUGGAAUUCCCGGUGUAGCGGUGGAAUGCGUAGAGAUCGGGAAGAACAUCGGUGGCGAAGGC